rnacentral:rRNA from 1 species
GAUGAACGCUGGCGGCGUGCCUAAUACAUGCAAGUCGAACGAACGGACGAGAAGCUUGCUGCUCUGAUGUUAGCGGCGGACGGGUGUGUAACACGUGGAUAACCUACCUAUAAGUCUGGGAUAACUUCGGGAAACCGGCGCUAAUCCCGGAUAAUCUUUUGAACCGCAUUGUUCAAAAGUGAAAGACGGUCUUGCUGUCUCUUAUCGCUGGAUCGGCGCUGCAUUAGCUAGUUGUUAAGGUAACGGCUUACCAAGGCAACGAUGCAUAGCCGACCGGAGAGAGGGGUAGGCGGCAUGGGAGCGGAGACGCGGACAAGGGUCCUGAGAGAGGCAGCAGUAGGGUACGUGACGCAAUGGGGGAGAGCAUGACGGAGCAAGGCGGCGUGAGAGAUAAAGGUCUUCGGAUCGGAAAACUCGGUUAUGAGGGAAGAACAGAUGUGGAAGUAAAUGUGCAGAUCGUGACGGUAACUAAUCAGAAAGCCACGGCUAACUACGUG